rnacentral:rRNA from 1 species
AUCAACGCUGGCGGCGUGCCUAACACAUGCAAGUCGAACGCGAAAGUGGGGGCAACCCCAUGAGUAGAGUGGCAGACGGGUGAGUAACACGUGGGUAACCUACCCUAGAGUGAGGAAUAACCCCGCGAAAGCGGGGCUAAUACCGCAUAACAUCCUUGGGACUCAAGUUCCGAGGAUCAAAGCUCGCAAGAGCGCUCAAGGAGGGGCCCGCGCCUGAUUAGCUAGUUGGUGGGGUAACGGCCUACCAAGGCUCCGAUCAGUAGCCGGCCUGAGAGGGCGAACGGCCACACUGGAACUGAGACACGGUCCAGACUCCUACGGGAGGCAGCAGUGGGGAAUUUUGCGCAAUGGGCGAAAGCCUGACGCAGCAACGCCGCGUGGGUGAUGAAGUCCCUUGGGAUGUAAAACCCUGUCAGCUGGGACGAAACGGCUCGCAAGAGCAAUUGACUGUACCAGCAGAGGAAGCCCCGGCUAACUCCGU